AAAGAAUCUAGCUGCCGGUGGUGGCGCACACCUUUAAUCCCAACACUCGGGAGACAGAGGCAGGUGGAUCUCUGUGAGUUCGAGGCCAGCUUGGUCUACAGAGUGAGUUCCAGGACAGCCAGGACUAUACAGAGAAACCCUGUCUCAAAAAAAACCCAAACCAGACAACCAACCAAACCAAACAAAGACUGACCCCGGGUCGAAGAUACCUCAUUGCCUUUCUAAAGUCUGAGUGCAUGGUCAGGCUCUGCACCCCUUUUUCCAACUGAUGUCCCUUGAACACGAAGGAACACGUCACCUCUGAGUCCUUCAAGAUGGGCUCUUUGUGGUGAGGUCUAUCAGAGACUUUACCCACCAGGCCAAGGUCUAUUCUAAAAGGAGGCUGUGGCAAGGCCCAGCCUUCCUCUCCCAGGCAUUCUGCAAGCAGCUCCGGCAGUUAAACAGAGGAAAUGGGGCUGGCCUUGUUUUCCAUCUGGACAGCAGAGAGCAGGAAACGGUGUUUCUGGAGGGGAAGCCAGGCCGGCCUGAGGCUUUGAGUUGCAGGGUAACUAUGACUAUGCAGCCAAGGCCACUUGGGGCUCACACUGUACGGCUCUCGGGGCCAGCUCUGCUAUCCAGGUUGGGUGGGGAGGACAAGGCGGAGAGAGGCAGGUGUACAGGGCUGGGGAAGAUGCCCUUGGUAGUUCUCAGGACAUGUGUCAGCACUGGGGAGCUGGGGACCCCUCAGAAUCCACCCAGGUGCACGCAGGAAGAGGAAUCUGGGUAAGAAAAUUAUUCUGGGCUUUGCUGAAGCCCCUGAGGAUGAGGCGUUCUACUUUCUGUGGCCUGGAUGAGCAAGUGGGAGCUGGGGAAAAGAAAUGUACCAGGCCACCACAUACUCAACCCAUGACCUGGACAUCCUCUGCCCUCAAAACCUGCCAAGUCUGCCUCCUUGGUCUGACUUUCAGGCUCCUUCUAUCCGGACUUCACUGGCUUCCUUGCCUCCUUGCCCAGGAGGGCAUUUCCCUGUGGAGGUAUUCUUUCAGCUUACAUCAUGCAAGGGUAUGCUUCUGUCAUAGAUGCUCAAUAAACAAAGUUUCCCUAUUUUUUCGUGCUCUCUCAAUUGUGGUCCUGACCCCUGAAUUUCAUUCUGUCUGUGCUGCUGGAUGCAUUGUCUUGCUGUCAUGGUGGUCCUUGCCAUUUUGUCAAAUGGAAUCUUCAUCCUUCAGACCCCGACCCAAGCAACAGAGCUGGGAAAGUGGAAAGAGCUCACUUAGCUCACACCCCAGUCCUUGCUGUGUAACUCGGCACUCACAACUCAUUAACCUUAAGUUGGACUUGAUGAUUCCUUUCUAUUCUAUUUUAUGAUAUUUACGUAUUUAUUUUUGCAGUCCCAGGGAUGGGGAUUGAACCUAGGUUCUCUUGCAUGCCUGUGUUCUACCACACUAAGCUAUACCCCUCAGUCCUGCACUGGGUGACAAGGUCUCAGGCCCAUGGUAACCUCAGACUUACUAUGCAUCCAGUGCUGCUGGUGACAGAUGGGAACCAGAAGCUCCUCCCGGGUGGCUCAUGAAAGUAUGAACAGAAGUCAGUCUGGAUGUGGAAGGGGUAGUACUCUUCCACUGGGGCAGGGGAUACAGCCCCAGCAUGGGCAGCUUAGCAGACCCUCAUCAUUUGGAAGCCACUCUGGCUCCGUCCGAUCCCCACACUGAAGGUAAGAGGGGAGCUUGGCUGGUUCUCGCUUUAGGUUCAGCAGGUUCUGCCUCUAGAGACGACUCCCUUUUGCCCCCAGUUUGGAUUAUACAAAACCCCCCCAGGCAGGACAGGCAGAUUCACGACAACCCUCCCACAUCCUGGGUAGUCUCAAGCUGGGAAUACAGAGAAAACUCCCAUCCCCUCCACUACCCCUCCCAGAUACCGGCACUCAGUAUGGAACCCAAAGAAAAGACCCUCCAGGAUGAAAGGCUAGGCCCUUGGAAGCACACAAGCCUGGGGGUUUUGGAAUGAAACAGAUCAGAUUACGUUUCAGGUUGUGUGGUCUAAAGAAACUGCUUGACUUAGCUGGGAGGUGGUGUUGCAUGCCUUUAUUCCCAGCACUCGGGAGGCAGAGCCAGGCGGAUCUCUGUGAGUUUGAGGCCAGCCUGGGCUACCAAAUGAGUUCCAGGAAAGGCGCAAAGCUACACAGAGAAACCCUGUCUCGGAAAAAAACAAAAAAACAAACAAACAAAAAAAAAAAAAAAGAAAAGAAAAGAAAUUGCUUGACUUUUCUGAAGCUUCAUAGAUUGUAGAUUGUGUCUUCAGGGAACUCCAACCCUGCUCUACACACCACCUUCCCCAGUCAUCUGUGGAGUUCAAAAGCCGGGAAUCUAGUCCUGGUCUCUUCCCAACUCCCUUCCGGGACACUAGAGAGGUUUCCCAGCCUGCACUGGCCCUUGUCCUUGGACCCUGACCCUUAGGGCUCUUCUGAAUGUUCUGUUAUGAAAAUGUACGUCUCAGACAAAAACAAGAGACUUUGUGGUGCCCUCACUUCUUUGCAGCACCCCUGGGAACCUCCUCAAAACCACAGCUACCUCUUAGCAACCUUGGACAUACCCAAAUGGCUUAUGCCAUAUGGCAUUUGAAGGGCUGGGGACACAUCCCAAACUCCUUAUGUCAAAAUGAAGUCUGAUGAAACCCUCUUUCCGACCGCCAACUGAUGCUCGGAGGCCUUAGACUGAGUCUGCUCCCGCCUCUGGAAUCUGCGGGCCCUGGCCUUUCCCUCCUUCUUCUGCGGGAACCUCCAACUGCAGGAAGGAGUUCCGGUCACGGCCUGGGCUCCCGCUCUUACAAAGGAAGGAAAAUGGACGGACCCCCGGCUUCCGGCUUCCUCUGGCAGCGGUCCCCUCCCUCCCCCUGCUCCAGCUCAGUUCUCUGCCCCCGGUUUUUGCAUUUUUAAUUCAGGACAGAAUGUGAUCUCUCUCAAGCUUCUUGCUUUAUCCUGUUGCUAUUUAAAUUACAAAUCGGCCCCAUCUCCCUGUCACUCUAGGAUUAUUUUUAGCUUCUGGUAAAUAGCAGCAGGGAGAGUAGGAUCAGGUGCCCCUCCCUCCCUCGAGGAGCUGUGUCCCCGCGACUGUGUGCCCGCCGCAGGGGGCACCCUCCCUGCCAACUGGCGCCACUAGCGUCCUGGGAGGGUGGAGGGAUACAGGGGCAGUGGGGGCUGGGUCAUGCUCAGUUCCUGCUCUUAGCGGCGGCUGCCUUUGCUAUCCUCAGAUCCCACUGCUUAGCCUUGCUCAGAGCCAGCUUCCACCAUCCUUCCUGGACCCCCCUAACCCGUCCAACCCUAGGGAAGAUCUAGCCGGCGGCGGUUCACUACUUCCCCUGGAGUCAGGAUCUGUAUGCCCGCCCCUUGCCUGUGUCAUCCUUCCAGCCACACUACUGAGUGGGUAUCAUUGUGCCCAUUUUCCAUACGAGGAAACAGGGUUAGAGGUGAGAGCUUCACAACUCAGAAGGGUCAGAGCUGGCUUCCACUGGGCCUCUCAGCCCCUAAGCCAGAGUGCAUAUCUCUCUUGGAACUCAGGAACCACACCUUAAGUCUCUGUGCUCAGGCGAUGGAUGCAUCAGUAUGUUUCCCCUAUGCCUGUGCGGUCCCAUCUACCGGAUCAGGGGUAACAAGCCAUGGCUCCUGGGCCUCAUCUGGCCCAGUGCCUGAUUGUAUAGGAUCCUGCGAGCUAUGAAUGGUUUUCCCGUUUCUCGAAACAGGAAGAAACCAAAGAGUAAUAUUUUGUGACCGUGAGAUGAUACGAAGUGUACAGUUCAGGGUCUCUAAGUAAAGCUUUAGAGGAAGCCGGGCACACUUGCUCCUUUACACGCUGUCUACGACUACUUUUGCACCACUGUCAGGGCCGAGGAGCCAUGACAGGGAGCUCGUGACUCGCAAAGCCUGAAAUAUUUGCUGUCUGGCCUUGAACACGAUCCUUUUGUCAAGGAAAAAGACUGAGCCCCACGGUGCGGUCGUCAGGCAGCCUGUCGGCAGGGCCGGAACUCCAGGGCCGUGACAGCAUCUGUAGAGGGACACCUCCCGCCAGCCACACCCAGCAGAUCAUCUCUGUUUUACUCUCUUUUAUCCAGAAUCCUUCUUUUUGACUUCUCCAUAGGUGAGACCAGCGGUUUUCAAACUGGCUGAACUGCCAGAAUCAUAGGAGGAGUUAACAGAUCUGGACUCUAAGUCCAGUUGGAGGGGUUGGAGGAUUCCAAGGGUAGGGUUUAACAAACCAUUCUAUUGUCUCAUUCUUUCUUGACGUCUUACCAGGGAUUGAACCUAGGGUCCCACCCAUGCUAGGCAGGCACUCUGUCCCUGAGCUACAACUUCAGCCCUAAAAAGUAUUGUAGGGGGCUGGAGAGAUGGCUCCGCAGUUAAGUGUGCGACUGGUCUUGUACAGGACCCAGCUUUGGUUCCCAGUGCACACAUGUUGGCUUACACCCACCUGUAAAUCCAAUUCCAGAGCAUCUGACCCCCCUCUUCUGGCCUCUCUAGGAUCCCAUACACAACUGGUGUGCAGGUUUACACACAUGCACAUAAAUUUUAAAAAAAAAUGUUUUUUUUUUAAUUCAUUUUAAGCCGGGCGGCAGUGGUGCAUGCUUUUAAUCCCAGCAGAGCCAGGCAGAUCUCUGUGAGUUCGAGGCCAGCCUGGUCUACAGAGCGAGAUCCAGGACAGGCACCAAAACUACACAGAGAAACCCUGUCUCAACAAAAACAAAAGAAACAAAAAAAAAUCAUUUUAAAAGACAUCCCCAGGUGAUGUGGUUUGGCUACUGGGCUUAACACUAGAGGAGUUCACAAACAACACAUCCAGCAUCCCUCACACCUUUCUGCCUUCCUUAGCCACUUCUCUUGAACCCAACUCUAAAUGAUUAGGACUCUUUCCAGUGUUUGGGGAAUAUACCUCUCCCCAGUCCAGACACAGACGUGAGACAGGAGCGCUCUAUAUUCGGUCCUGCUUUUUUGAUGGAGAUUUAUUGGAAAUCAGGUCCCUUUUAAUCCAAACAAGGGCCUACCCCACUCCAAAUCUAACUGGCUCUGUUUUCCGCCUGUGGUGACUCUGGGAGGCGACAGGAGCUAUUUCUCAGCAGGCCCCUCCUCCCUAGAAGGUCCUGCUGAAAGCCCCCCCCUUCCCCCGUGGUCCUGACUUGCGUCAGGAGCCGCCCGCCAGGCCUCUGUUCUGCUUCCGCCUGCACCCCCUCUCUUGCCCUCAUAUUUCUAUGCCCCCGCACUUCUGCCUGAAAGCCUUUUCUCUCUGUGAAGGGCUUUCAGCUGCUUUUCUUAGCAACUCCUCACAGCAGGACUGGAGGUUUAGCUGCGAGCCAGAGCUUUGUGGAACUGUAGCAGGCAGAGGAUGUGAAAAGGGCCACAGUGGGCCUGAGCUCCCAACAGCCCUGGGACAGCUUGGAAGUGGAACAGCAGCACGGUCAGCAGGCCUCUCAGGCCUUCCCACGCGGCUCUUCCACUGUUGCCUCACCACCUCCUCCUCCUCCUCUCCCUCCUCCUCGGAAGGCUCAAAGGGCCCAGAGCUGCUUCCUCCUUCCUGGUAGAGGCCCUCCUUGCCUUAAUGCCUUGCCCAGUUCUAGUGCUAAGACUAGACCCCUGGGUGACCUCAGCAUGUGAAGAGUAUCCUGCACAAUCUCUCCUGCCCUGAUACAAUCCUCAGAAAAAUAGACCCAACUUGGGUACUAUGCAUCCUUGAUGGCUAGGAGCCUCCAUUCUGGGGUGUGGAGGGGCAGUCAGUCCUCACAGCUGCCUCCCAACCCGCUGUGUGUGUUCAUGUACACAUAGUAUCUUCUAUGUGUACAUGAACACAUAGAAGAUACUAUGUGUUCUUUAAUGAUGCUCCGUUUACUGUUCUCCAAGCCUCUAUCCCACCCUGGCCUCCUUUCCAGCAGAGAUGCUACAUGUCCCUGACUUGCAUCUAGGGAAAAUCCUGGUGUGGUGCUUUUUGUAUGAGCCCAGACAGCUAAGCAUAGGUGUGUCUUCGACCAGAUCUCCUGACUCCCAAAGCAAUAAUAUUUCUUCCAGGAUUCUGUAUGCUCUGCACUUCCCCCAGGGACACUUUCAGGAACUCCUCUAGCUCAGCUAGAGGCCCUGGCAGAUGAUACUUUCUUCUUAGCAGGGCUCUGGAAGACCUUGGUAAUGGAGCCAAGCAUGCUCAUGAUUCUCAGAGUGCAGGCAAGGUCACCCUUCGGAGAAGUCAAGGGGAGGAAAAUGGACAUUUGUUGGACACCUGUGCCAGAUUCCUGCUUCUGGCAUUUGAAAGGGGGCCUGCAAGAUCCUCCAGGGCCUGCCUGAAGUGGCCUCUGCCUUGGAAAAACACACCGUUCUUUGCCGUUCCCUGGACUGACUCUUCCCACCCUGGCUUUCCCUUCACAUCAGGAAGCUAGUCCAGAAGGCAGGGCGGGCGUAUGCUCCCCUAGAACGCACUAGAACCACUGUGCACUGUAAGGACAGCAGCUUCUGGGUAUCCAGAGAGCCUAAGAUACACGCCCUGGGUCACACAACCAGCCGACAGCAGUGCCCGCUGUGACUGACUCUGAACCACUGCACCACACAGUACCCCACGGGGUGGCACCCACAACACAACUGUCACCCUCACCAGAGGUAGGUGCUCCCAGCAGAGUCCCAGACACCUUGCUGUGGGUCCCCUGUGCCUCAGAAUCUUUCUUAACUCUGUGUGUCCAGUAGACUCUACCACAUUAGAAAUGACCGAAGACGGACACUCAUUUGCUGUCCCAAUACUAAAAUACAAACGGUGCUUAGCCAAUGCAUCAUAACCACUGCCGCCCUCAUACACAGCGGUUGGACCUAGAACAUCCUACUGUUCUCUAAGUCACACCAAAGGAUCUCAGAGAGGCAGACUUAGAGUCUGGGUCUAAUUCUACCACUAACAUUAAACACACUGUAGACCCUUAUUGGAGUACUAUCUGCAAAAUUAAAGUGUAGAAUGAGAUAAUGCCAA